rnacentral:rRNA from 1 species
UGGCUAUAGGAAAUUGUUAGUGGCAGACGGGUGAGUAAUGCGUAGGAAUCUACCUAGUAGUACGGAAUAGCCAUUAGAAAUGGUGGGUAAUACUGUAUAAUCCCCGAGGGGGAAAGAUUUAUCGCUAUUAGAUGAGCCUACGUUAGAUUAGCUAGUUGGUGAGGUAAUGGCUUACCAAGGCUAUGAUCUAUAGCUGGUCUGAGAGGACGAUCAGCCACACUGGAACUGAGAUACGGUCCAGACUCCUACGGGAGGCAGCAGUGGGGAAUAUUGGACAAUGGGCGAAAGCCUGAUCCAGCUAUGCCGCGUGAGUGAAGAAGGCCUUCGGGUUGUAAAACUCUUUCAAUAGGGAAGAUAAUGACGGUACCUAUA